rnacentral:rRNA from 1 species
CCUACGGGGGGCUGCAGUGAGGAAUAUUGGUCAAUGGGCGCGAGCCUGAACCAGCCAAGUAGCGUGAGGGAAGACGGUCCUAUGGAUUGUAAACCUCUGUUGUCGGGGAGCAAAAGACGCCACGCGUGGCGUUCCGAGAGUACCCGAAGAAAAAGCAUCGGCUAACUCCGUGCCAGCAGCCGCGGUAAUACGGGGGAUGCGAGCGUUAUCCGGAUUUAUUGGGGUUAAAGGGUGCGCAGGCGGAAGAUCAAGUCAGCGGUAAAAUUGAGAGGCUCAACCUCUUCGCGCCGUUGAAACUGGUUUUCUUGAGUGCGUGAGACGUAUGCGGACUGCGUGGUGUAGCGGU